UCUUCCGUAGUAUAGUGGUCAGUAUGUGAGCUUGUCACCAAAGCCGACAUCGCUCGAGACCCGGGUUCAAUUCCCGGCGGGAGAG
rnacentral:tRNA from 1 species